UACAGAGGAUGCAAGCAUUAAUCGGAAUUACUGGGCGUAAAGCGCGCGUAGACGGCUGUCUAAGUCGGGUGUGAAAGCCCCAAGCUCAACCUGGGAACUGCACUCGAUACUGAACGGCUAGAGUAUGAAAAAGGGAGGUAGAAUUCCACGUGUAGCAGUGAAAUGCGUAGAUAUGUGGAGGAAUACCGGUGGCGAAGGCGGCCUCCUGGUUCAAUACUGACGCUGAAGUGCGAAAGCGUGGGGAGCAAAC
rnacentral:rRNA from 1 species